rnacentral:rRNA from 1 species
UGUCAGCAGCCGCGGUAAUACGGAGGAUGCAAGCGUUAUCCGGAUUCAUUGGGUUUAAAGGGUGCGCAGGCGGAGUGUUAAGUCAGUGGUGAAAGCCUACAGCUCAACUGUAGAACUGCCAUUGAUACUGACAUUCUUGAGUAUUGUUGAGGUAGGCGGAAUGUGUCAUGUAGCGGUGAAAUGCUUAGAUAUGACACAGAACACCGAUCGCGAAGGCAGCUUACCAAGCAAUAACUGACGCUCAUGCACGAAAGCGUGGGGAUCAAACAGGAUUAGAUACCCUGGUAGUCCACGCCGUAAACGAUGAUCACUCGAUGUUGGCGAUACACAGUCAGCGUCUUAGGGAAACUAUUAAGUGAUCCACCUGGGGAGUACGGUCGCAAGAUUGAAACUCAAAUGAAUUGACGG